rnacentral:misc_RNA from 1 species
UGAGCAAUCUAUCCAAUUCUGGAUGUUUCUUUAGUGGUUCUUUGUGCUCACGUAGCCCACGAUAAUGGUGGAAUGCCCAAUAUUUCUCAAGGCCAUAAAUAUUGCCUUUAUGAUAGAACUCAAGAGUGAGCUCUUCAAAAUCCUUGUAUAAGUCCUCUCUGAAUUCGCUCUCCAAACCAUAACUAUAGAACCUGAAAAGGCACUCUAUCCCAUAAUUGUAAUUAGCAGAUGCAUCUUCCAGAGCUAAUUUCCGGAACUCAUUAUACAUGGAAGGAACAAACAUAUCUCUAAGGAAAUAUGACCAAAACCUAUACAGCGUAUUCAUUUCCUCACUGCAACCAACUCCCAUUUUCUUUCUGUCGCUUAGGCACCGCUUAUGAAACUUCAGGUACUUCUGCUGUUUAAAGCCAUUUUCUUCUAACAACUGAUGACUUGGAUGCUGGAAUGGGAGAAAUGACUUUGGCAUGGAACCCACUGGUGGACUACUGCCUGACAGAGUGCUAUGUGGCGAAGCACUCAACUUUGAUGACCUAGGACCAUGAUUUUCAGGAGGUGUAGAACUAAAGAAAAAUCCAACUGAAUUACUCGGUGGACUUUCUGAUAUGAUCCCAAAAGAAUUACGGCCGGUUCCAUGAUUUCUAAAGUUGCAGGAGAAGAAGCGCUGCUUAUGAGAUGAUUGCUGCUUAGAAAAACUUUUACUGUGUUUCCUUAAAUUAGUAGUGCUUCCAGACUCUUCAUGGCCACCACAUCCAGUGGGAAUUUCACCAGUCUUUGAAUGUGAUACUCCUGGAGCACUAUUUGUAAAUCUUGAGUUCCCAUCUCUGUUCUCAAAACUAGAAUUAUUCUUUCUGCGAUUAGAUCGCUUAGUUUUAAGCUCCUGUUCAUAGAAAUAAAGACCAUCAUUAAUUGCAGAAGCAAGCUCCUUGGAAAUGGAUUUUGCAUCUUUACCACCAGUUUUGAAUCCUUCACUUGGUCUGCUAUUCUGGGUGACAAUCACAAGUCUUUGAACAUCCUGAUCAUUGACCAAUAUCUCAUCUUCUUCAUCAUCAAUCCUUCUAACUGGACACACACAAUCGCUCUUCUGUGUUUUCUGCUCAAGCUCCAGCUCUUCAUCAAGCAUAAAUGUGUUUGCAAAAUCACUAGACAGAUCACCAAGAUUUUGCGAAGCCAAAUGUAAUGAAAUUCCCAUGCCAUCAGCUGCAUGAUACUUUGAAACUGCAGGCUCAGUUCCAUCAGAAUGGGCUACAUAUGCAGCAUUGCAGCUGCUGUCAAGAUAAGAAAGCUUAAUGUUCAAGUCAGCAACUGACUUUUCAUUUGGAUCUGCAUUGGCACCACCCAUUGCCUGUUUUACAGCAUGAACAGAUGCACUUUCAUCUUCCUUUGUACCUAUAUGUAUUAUUUCCGGAGCCUCUCCAUUUGACAAUGUGUGCUCCGCAAGACCUGCAUUAUUAUGUAAUGAAAAGUCCACAUUUUGUUUUGAGAUACCCCUUGCAUUGUCUUCAUUAGCAGGAUUUACAAGUUGGGACUCAGAAGUCUGAGUUUUUGAUGAUGAUGUAUAUUCUGCAGAAGCUGGAAUCCACUUUAACCACUCAUCACGUCUCCGAAUCUUGUCACCCUGAACUUCCACUGUACUUGAACUUUGUAGUGCAUCAAGGAUAAACAGUAUAUCUGUAGUCAUUUUCUUAACCCUGUUAAAGUCAGCAAU